AAUACCGUCAUAUCUUUAGGGUGAAGAUAAUGGCUGCCUGCUCCAGGUCGUGGGAAGGAUAGUUCUGUUCAUGAAUUUUAAGCUGUCGAGAUCCAAAGGCAAUUACUCUGUCAUGCUGCAUCAAGACACACUCUAAACCAAUAUGAGAUGCAUCGAAGUAAACUUGGAAUCUCCCAACAUUGUCAAGGAGGAUUAACACAUGAGCAAAUGUGAGAUGACACUUUA
rnacentral:lncRNA from 1 species